rnacentral:rRNA from 1 species
AACGAACGCUGGCGGCAGGCCUAACACAUGCAAGUCGAACGUGAAGCCACCUUCGGGUGGUGGAAAGUGGCAGACGGGUGAGUAACGCGUGGGAACGUGCCUUUCGGUUCGGGAUAACCCAGGGACCCUUGGGCUAAUACCGGAUACGCCCUCCGGGGGAAAGAUUCAUUGCCGAAAGAUCGGCCCGCGUCGGAUUAGCGAGUUGGUGGGGUAAAAGCCUACCAAGGGGACGAUCCGUAGCUGGUCUGAGAGGAUGACCAGCCACACUGGGACUGAGACACGGCCCAGACUCCGACGGGAGGCAGCAGUGGGGAAUAUUGGACAAUGGGCGCAAGCCUGAUCCAGCCAUGCCGCGUGGGUGAAGAAGGCCCUAGGGUUGUAAACCCCUUUCAGCGGGGAAGAUAAUGACGGUACCCGCAGAAGAAGCCCCGGCUAACUCCGUGCCAGCAGCCGCCGUAAUAC